rnacentral:rRNA from 1 species
AUUGAACGCUGGCGGAAUGCUUUACACAUGCAAGUCGAGCGGCAGCACGGGGGCAACCCUGGUGGCGAGCGGCGAACGGGUGAGUAACACAUCGGAACGUACCCUGUCGUGGGGGAUAACGAGUCGAAAGAUUCGCUAAUACCGCAUACGACCCGAGGGUGAAAGCAGGGGAUCGCAAGACCUUGCGCUGAUUGAGCGGCCGAUAUCAGAUUAGCUAGUUGGUGAGGUAAAGGCUCACCAAGGCGACGAUCUGUAGCGGGUCUGAGAGGAUGAUCCGCCACACUGGAACUGAGACACGGUCCAGACUCCUACGGGAGGCAGCAGUGGGGAAUUUUGGACAAUGGGCGCAAGCCUGAUCCAGCCAUGCCGCGUGAGUG